GAGGAAUUUGAUGGGGAGAGCAAAAGAUAUGGGAGGAUCAAGAAUAACCAACUUGGCUUUUGGAGGGAGCAAAAUGUUCUUGACAAGGAAGGAUCAGCAUUCUGUUGAGGUUUGGCAAAGUUCUUCAAGGGGAUUUUAGAUUUUUGAAAAUUGUUCAUAGCUUGAUUCAUUCAAUUGUAAAUGUCCAUGUAUUUUAUCCAAAAUUAUAUUGUGAUUAGAUCUAUCUAGCUUAUUGAUUUGAGAUCAACAAUUGCCUUUUUCCUCUGUUUUCUGAUUGCUAUAUAUGUGGAUAAUCAUCAAGGAGAAGGUGUUGCAUCUUAGUUUCCUGGUUCAUACAUUUCAGGCUUUGCAAUGAGCUAUGAUAUCAGGUAAUUUGGAAUGUUGAAGUUGAAUAAUUGCGAUUAUACUGUACCAUAAGGCGAAAUCAUUAUGAUUUCUGGGUUUUAUCGAAGGACCACCAUUUUGUAGCAGUGGCUCUAUUUCCAGAAGCAAUAGCACCUAAGAAGUUGUCACUAUAAUUUCCAAUUUGAAUGUCCAUGAUUUUUGGGCAGAAAGUAAAUGGAUUUAUUAACAUACAAAAAUCAUGGACAUUCAAAUUGGAAAU
rnacentral:misc_RNA from 1 species